rnacentral:rRNA from 1 species
GACAGAGGAUGCAAGCGUUAUCCGGAAUGAUUGGGCGUAAAGCGUCUGUAGGUGGCUUUUUAAGUCCGCCGUCAAAUCCCAGGGCUCAACCCUGGACAGGCGGUGGAAACUACCAAGCUGGAGUACGGUAGGGGCAGAGGGAAUUUCCGGUGGAGCGGUGGAAUGCGUAGAGAUCCGGAAGAACACCGGUGGCGAAGGCGGUCUGCUGGGCCAAGACUGACGCUGAGGCGCGACAGCGUGGGGAGCAAACAGG